CCUAGUUGAUCUGCACUGUCAAGCAGCUGGCUUAAUUUCUGGAGCCACAGUUUCAUUUUGCCAUAAUUAUAUGGCUUUUUAGAAACAUUUCAUUAGUCAUCCUUGCAGCCCCAAUGUCUCCGUUUGUUAAUACUGGAAAGUGAAAGUAGAGGGUAUUUUGCUUUGGGAAAUUUGAUACAGUGAGCCAAGAGCAUUUCACAACCUGGAGCCAUCUCUUCGGGGAGAACUGAUUUUUUUUCCUGUGCUUCCAGGCCAAGAACCGACUCACAGGGCACAUCCCCUGAGCUUCCCAGGACUGUAAGGGCACGAAGCCGUAAUCCGUUCAGAAGAGUGUUUCUUUCACGGCUCCUGUUGCGGCCAAGGGGGAUGGAGAGUGGAGGGCACGUGAAGGGUCAGCUGCAAACAAAUCACACACCGAAUCUUCAGAGCUCUUACAUUUCACUCCUGGGUAUUUGUCAAAGAGAAAGAAAAACUUAUAUCCAUACAAAGACUUGUACACAAAUGUUCAUGGCAGGUUUAUUUGUAAUAGUAGAAAAGCAGAAACCAAAUUGUGGUACAUCCGUACAAUGGCGUAUGACUCAGCAAUAGGAGGGAAUGAACUAUUAAUACAUGCUAUAACAUGGAUGAAUCUGAAAAUAAUUACGCUGAGCCGAAGAAGUCAACCAAAAAAGCAUAAUUCCAAUUACGUACAAAAUUGUAGAAAACACAAACUAAUCUAUCGGGACAGAAAAGAGAUCAGUGUCCUGGAGAAAAAGAGGGGCAAGAAGAAGAGGUUACAACAGGUCACAAGACAUCCACUGGGGAAUAAGGAGCAAAAUGUGGUCUAUCCUUGCAAUGGAAUACGGUUCAGCCUUAAAAAGGAAGGACAUUCUGACACCUGCUACAACAUGGAUACACCUUGAGGCCAUUAUCCUAAGUGUGAUAAGCCAGUCACAAAAGGACAAAUACUGUGAUUCCACUUUUAUGAGGUACUAGAGUCAAAUUCAUAGAGAAAGUGGAAGAGUAGAUGCCAGGGGCUGGAGGGGCCAUGGGGAGUUAAUUGUUUAACGGGGACAGAGUUUCAGUUUGGGAAGAUGAAAAAGUUCUGUGGAUGGAUGGUGGGGGUGAUUGCACAACUAUGUGAAUGGCCCUGAAUUGUACACUUAAAAAUGGUUAAAAUGGUAAAUUUUAUGUUAUGUAUGUUUUACCGCAAUCAUCAAAGGUCAUGAGACAACUUUUGGGGUAAUGGCAGGACUGGCCACGUAAUUUGUAAAGAAAAAGGAGAAAGUGGCGUCUCUUGUUCAAAAAUCAUUAUAAAUUCAAGACUCCACAGCAGAGCACUAGACCAAGCCUGCAGGUCACAAGCUCACCAAGCCUGCCCCUGGGCUGGGUGAGUUCAUAUCCUUGACUGCGGGAUGAUUUCAUCCGGAUAUACACAAGCCCAAGCCUACCAAACAGAAACUUGAAACAUGCACCGUUUACUGUUUAUAAAUUAUACCUCAGUAAAUCUGCUUAAAAGGAGUAACAAAAAGUAUGUCU